rnacentral:pre_miRNA from 1 species
CAAGUACUCCCUUCGUCCGAAAAUACUUGUCAUCAAAAUGGAUAAAAAAGAUGUAUCUAGAACUAAUAUACAUCUAGAUACAUCCCCUUUUAUUCAUUUUGAUGACAAGUAUUUCCGGACGGAGGGAGUACUAU